UGGCAAAACAAGUCUGUGGCCGGUCAAAAAAAUAGGGCUGCUAUGCCUGCUCAUAAACUACACACUGAAGGGUUUAUCAGUUUUGGCGAACACAAGAGAAGAAAGGAAGCUAAGUUGAAGCAUCGUGUGUCUUUCCUUGAAGUAUAUGAUGAUGUUCAUAAGAAAAAAAGUGGAGAAUAUGUUUCUGAAGUAUCCAAGGAAAUUAUUGACUUAUAUUGAGAGGCAAUAUCACAAAAAUAUGGAGAAGAUUUAAUAGAUCAACCUAAAGUUGAUCCUGACGUGUGGACAGAAGUUGCAGGAACCAACAAGAAAGGACGAGUUCAUGGGUUAGGCCGCAGUCUGGAUAUUGGUAUUCAUGAUCAUAGAGAUGUUCCAUUACCUGAAGAUACAGGUGUUUCUACAGUCAAGUCAGUUUCACAAACAGACAUCACUGAGGCCAUUAAAGAAGCAUUGCCUAGUGCUAUAAAUGCAGUGUUGCCUAGUGUUGUAAAUGAAGGUAUAUAGAGUAAUUUACUGUCUCUCCUUUCUAAGAUUCCAGGAUUCUACCAAGAGAAGAACCAUUAGAGUAAUUUUGUUGGGAAUAAUAUUUGGUUAGGUGGCUUAUGUUAAUGCAAUUUGUUAGGCUUAGCUUAUUAUCGUAGUUUAUUUGUUUGAUAGAUAAUUGAUUAGGCAAUUUGUUUCAUUUUCAGUUUUUAUAGAAGUUGGCUUACUUUUAUUGGUAGUUUACUUAGUUGAUAAAUAAUUA